rfam:Toxocara canis scaffold2725, whole genome shotgun sequence.
GGCGAGAUAGCCGAGUGGUCUAAGGCGCUGGUUUUAGGCACCAGUAUCUUCGGAGGCGUGGGUUCGAAUCACACUCGCGUCA